UACGUAGGGUGCAAGCGUUGUCCGGAAUUAUUGGGCGUAAAGAGCUCGUAGGCGGUCUGUCACGUCGGCUGUGAAAACCCGAGGCUCAACCUCGGGCCUGCAGUCGAUACGGGCAAACUAGAGUACUGCAGGGGAGACUGGAAUUCCUGGUGUAGCGGUGAAAUGCGCAGAUAUCAGGAGGAACACCGGUGGCGAAGGCGGGUCUCUGGGCA
rnacentral:rRNA from 1 species